AUGGAGAGCAGCAUAGGGAAAGAUAGCAGCGAGCGUGUUCCUUUGUCAGGGGUCGUGGCAGAUUGUGUGAAGCGUUGGUUUAAGGAUACUCUUAGGGAGGCUAAAGGUGGUGAUGUUAAUAUGCAGAUUUUGGUUGGUCAGAUGUAUUAUAGUGGCUAUGGUAUUCCUAAAGAUGCUCAAAAGAGUAAACUUUGGCUGACAAAAGCAUCAAGGGUUAGAUCUUCAGUUUGGAAAGUUGGAGAUAAACGUCCAGGUUAUAAUGCAAGUGAUUCUGACUCUGAUGAAUCGGAUGAGAACUCUUAA